rnacentral:rRNA from 1 species
UAGCAUAUCAAUAAGCGGAGGAAAAGAAACCAACCGGGAUUACCCUAGUAACGGCGAGUGAAGCGGUAAGAGCUCAAAUUUGAAAGCUGGCUCCUUCGGGGUCCGCAUUGUAAUUUGCAGAGGAUGCUUCGGGAGCGGUCCCCAUCUAAGUGCCCUGGAACGGGCCGUCAUAGAGGGUGAGAAUCCCGUAUGGGAUGGGGUGUCCGCGCCCGUGUGAAGCUCCUUCGACGAGUCGAGUUGUUUGGGAAUGCAGCUCUAAUUGGGUGGUAAAUUUCAUCUAAAGCUAAAUAUUGGCCGGAGACCGAUAGCGCACAAGUAGAGUGAUCGAAAGAUGAAAAGCACUUUGAAAAGAGAGUUAAAAAGCACGUGAAAUUGUUGAAAGGGAAGCGCUUGCGAUCAGACUCGCUCGCGGGGUUCAGCCGGCCUUCGGGCCGGUGUACUUCCCCGCGGGCGGGCCAGCGUCGGUUUGGGCGGCCGGUCAAAGGCCCCUGGAAUGUAACGCCUCUCGGGGCGUCUUAUAGCCAGGGGUGCCAUGCGGCCUGCCCGGACCGAGGAACGCGCUUCGGCUCGGACGCUGGCAUAAUGGUCGUAAGCGACCCGUCUUGAAACACGGACCAAGGAGUCUAACAUCUACGCGAGUGUUCGGGUGUCAAACCCGUGCGCGCAGUGAAAGCGAACGGAGGUGGGAACCCCUCGGGGUGCACCAUCGACCGAUCCUGAUGUCUUCGGAUGGAUUUGAGUAAGAGCGUAGCUGUUGGGACCCGAAAGAUGGUGAACUAUGCCUGAAUAGGGCGAAGCCAGAGGAAACUCUGGUGGAGGCUCGCAGCGGUUCCUGACGUGCAAAUCCAUCGUCAAAUUUGGGUAUAGGGGCGAAAGACUAAUCGAACCAUCUAGUAGCUGGUUCCU